UCCCUGGCGGUCCAGUGGUUAAGACUCGGCACUUUCAAUGCUGUGGUCCCGGGUUCGAUCCCUGGCUGGGGAA